AGGAUGAACGCUGGCGGGCGUGCCUAACACAUGCAAGUCGAACGGAGCACUUUGGUUUGAGAUUCGUCAAGAACCGGAUUUGACUUAGUGGCGGACGGGUGAGUAAUGUAUGAGUAACCUGCCUUUCAGAGGGGGACAACAGUUGGAAACGACUGCUAAUACCGCAUAAUGUACAUUGAAGGCAUCUUUGAUGUACCAAAGGAGCAAUCCGCUGAAAGAUGGGCUCAUAUCUGAUUAGUUAGUUGGCAGGGUAACGGCCUACCAAGACUGCGAUCAGUAGCCGGACUGAGAGGUUGAACGGCCACAUUGGGACUGAGAUACGGCCCAGACUCCUACGGGAGGCAGCAGUGGGGAAUAUUGGGCAAUGGGCGAAAGCCUCGACCCAGCAACGCCGCGUGAAGGAAGAAGGUCUUCGGAUUGUAAACUUCUUUUAUGAGGGACGAAGGACGUGACGGUACCUCAUGAAUAAGCCACGGCUAACUACGUGCCAGCCGCAGC
rnacentral:rRNA from 1 species